UACGAAGGGGGCUAGCGUUGUUCGGAAUCACUGGGCGUAAAGGGCGCGUAGGCGGCUUUAUAAGUCGGGGGUGAAAGCCUGUGGCUCAACCACAGAAUUGCCUUCGAUACUGUAGAGCUUGAGACCGGAAGAGGUAAGUGGAACUGCGAGUGAAGAGGUGAAAUUCGUAGAUAUUCGCAAGAACACCAGUGGCGAAGGCGGCUUACUGGUCCGGUUCUGACGCUGAGGCGCGAAAGCGUGGGGAGCAAACAGG
rnacentral:rRNA from 1 species